rnacentral:Y_RNA from 1 species
GGCUGGGUCCGAUGGUAGUGGGUUAUCAGAAUUAUUCACAUUAGUGUCACUAAGUUGGUAUUCAACCCCCCACAAUGCUAAAAUUGUGACUGGCUUUUA